UACGGGGGGGGGAAGCGUUGUUCGGAAUUACUGGGCGUAAAGGGCUCGUAGGCGGCCAACUAAGUCGGACGUGAAAUCCCUCAGCUUAACUGGGGAACUGCGUCCGAUACUGGAUGGCUUGGAUUUGGGAGAGGGAUGCGGAAUUGCAGGUGUAGCGGUGAAAUGCGUAGAUAUCUGGAGGAACACCGGUGGCGAAGGCGGCUCACUGGCCCGAUACUGACGCUGAGGUGCGAAAGCGUGGGGAGCAAACAGG
rnacentral:rRNA from 1 species